CAGAGACCACACUCAGAGACAGAUGUCGCCCGCCGUCCGCCUGGCUGGGCCACGUCCGGCCCAGUGAAAUGUCAAUGGUUUUUAACCUCAUUGAACAACAGCACAGCAUGUCCACUGUGUAUGAUAUUCAAGUAAAUGUCAGGCAGCCCUUUGGAAGCCGCUUCGUCUCCCCGGAGUGAUUCACGAGGGACAAAUCAACAGCGUCGGAGGGAGGCCACUGUACCCAGCACUUUAACACAAAAUACCAUGACAGCGGGAAUGGGGAGACAUGAGGUUUGCUUCAUGCUGUUACAGUGUUGGCGUCCACAGGACCAAAACUGAGUCUAGCCAGAAGAUAGUUGACCCACUGCUGUCUCGUCGCUCAUUGAUGUCGUCUCCACUUUUAAAGUGAACCGCUGCGUUGAACGACUUCACCCUGAAGAAACAGUCAAGAUCCUGUGGACUGCUGCAAUAUACGUAAAGGUUCAGUACGUUAACUGUUAUUUAGUGACCUGGAAGGUCAGUUGAGAACCAGUUCUUAUUUUCACUGAUGACCUGGCCAACUGCUUUCACCUGCAAAAGGGCAGGACAACACACAAAACCAUGAAUUAUUUUCAGAAUCCAUAUAUAACAAUAUAAGUACAAAUAAACACAAUAUACAAGGGACUAAACAUAAAAUCUGCAUUAUGCACAGUGAAAGCCUCAAUGUGGUGCAUUAUUUAAUAUUGAUUAGCAUGUUGUUCCUAUCUGUGUUUCAGAUGCCAAAUCUCUAUUGGUUAUUGUCCUUGUUCCUGGACAAGCUGUUGUUUUCAUGGCACAGUUCACCAUUGCUUUGCAGAAGGAAUGUGCUCAUUCUACUGAGAUAAACCUGUGAUACUGCGCUGGUUUUGGUGUAUAGAGAGGAUCAGAGGAUGCUAGAUGAUGGUGACGCUGAUGACCUUGUUGAGUUUUCCCGGUUAGUCCUCAAAUGACGUUCCUCGAAGACCAGGCUGCCGGAGAAAACAGUGAGAAGUGCUUCUUUGUCAAUGAAUGCAUUUUGACGCAAAUCAACUUGUGAAAAGAGAUAUGGUUUAAGUAACUGCACAUAGAACUGUCGUUUUGACCACUAUGCUAACAAGAUGGAUACAAUAUAAUCAAAAGAAUUUAGUAUAAAUAUGAAAAAUCAAUGUUUAUUAAUGGACCACUGCUGUUUUGAGCACCUUUCCAAGAGGUUAGCCAAAAAUAUAGCAUCAGUAAAAACAAAAUAUUAAGGUAGCAGAAUAAAAUCCACACUGCUCCACACAUCGGGUCUUGAUGAACAAAAUAUAUUAAAGAUUAAAAUCUUUACUGUACAUUGUGUAAUUCAUUGAGAACAAAAUGAGAACAAAAUGUAACAACAGUCAAUUGAAGCCAAAAUCGCCAAAUGAUUGAGGGCUGGUUUCAAACCCACACCGAAAAUCAGAGUAAACAAUUGAAAUCACAGGCUGUUUCAACUCAUAAUGUGACUCAGUAGUGUGUAUGGCCCCCACGUGCCU